GGGUUGUGAGGUUAAGCGACUAAGCGUACACGGUGGAUGCCCUGGCAGUCAGAGGCGAUGAAGGACGUGCUAAUCUGCGAUAAGCGUCGGUAAGGUGAUAUGAACCGUUAUAACCGGCGAUUUCCGAAUGGGGAAACCCAGUGUGUUUCGACACACUAUCAUUAACUGAAUCCAUAGGUUAAUGAGGCGAACCGGGGGAACUGAAACAUCUAAGUACCCCGAGGAAAAGAAAUCAACCGAGAUUCCCCCAGUAGCGGCGAGCGAACGGGGAGCAGCCCAGAGCCUGAAUCAGUGUGUGUGUUAGUGGAAGCGUCUGGAAAGGCGCGCGAUACAGGGUGACAGCCCCGUACACAAAAAUGCACAUGCUGUGAGCUCGAUGAGUAGGGCGGGACACGUGGUAUCCUGUCUGAAUAUGGGGGGACCAUCCUCCAAGGCUAAAUACUCCUGACUGACCGAUAGUGAACCAGUACCGUGAGGGAAAGGCGAAAAGAACCCCGGCGAGGGGAGUGAAAAAGAACCUGAAACCGUGUACGUACAAGCAGUGGGAGCACGCUUAGGCGUGUGACUGCGUACCUUUUGUAUAAUGGGUCAGCGACUUAUAUUCUGUAGCAAGGUUAACCGAAUAGGGGAGCCGAAGGGAAACCGAGUCUUAACUGGGCGUUAAGUUGCAGGGUAUAGACCCGAAACCCGGUGAUCUAGCCAUGGGCAGGUUGAAGGUUGGGUAACACUAACUGGAGGACCGAACCGACUAAUGUUGAAAAAUUAGCGGAUGACUUGUGGCUGGGGGUGAAAGGCCAAUCAAACCGGGAGAUAGCUGGUUCUCCCCGAAAGCUAUUUAGGUAGCGCCUCGUGAAUUCAUCUCCGGGGGUAGAGCACUGUUUCGGCAAGGGGGUCAUCCCGACUUACCAACCCGAUGCAAACUGCGAAUACCGGAGAAUGUUAUCACGGGAGACACACGGCGGGUGCUAACGUCCGUCGUGAAGAGGGAAACAACCCAGACCGCCAGCUAAGGUCCCAAAGUCAUGGUUAAGUGGGAAACGAUGUGGGAAGGCCCAGACAGCCAGGAUGUUGGCUUAGAAGCAGCCAUCAUUUAAAGAAAGCGUAAUAGCUCACUGGUCGAGUCGGCCUGCGCGGAAGAUGUAACGGGGCUAAACCAUGCACCGAAGCUGCGGCAGCGACGCUUAUGCGUUGUUGGGUAGGGGAGCGUUCUGUAAGCCUGCGAAGGUGUGCUGUGAGGCAUGCUGGAGGUAUCAGAAGUGCGAAUGCUGACAUAAGUAACGAUAAAGCGGGUGAAAAGCCCGCUCGCCGGAAGACCAAGGGUUCCUGUCCAACGUUAAUCGGGGCAGGGUGAGUCGACCCCUAAGGCGAGGCCGAAAGGCGUAGUCGAUGGGAAACAGGUUAAUAUUCCUGUACUUGGUGUUACUGCGAAGGGGGGACGGAGAAGGCUAUGUUGGCCGGGCGACGGUUGUCCCGGUUUAAGCGUGUAGGCUGGUUUUCCAGGCAAAUCCGGAAAAUCAAGGCUGAGGCGUGAUGACGAGGCACUACGGUGCUGAAGCAACAAAUGCCCUGCUUCCAGGAAAAGCCUCUAAGCAUCAGGUAACAUCAAAUCGUACCCCAAACCGACACAGGUGGUCAGGUAGAGAAUACCAAGGCGCUUGAGAGAACUCGGGUGAAGGAACUAGGCAAAAUGGUGCCGUAACUUCGGGAGAAGGCACGCUGAUAUGUAGGUGAGGUCCCUCGCGGAUGGAGCUGAAAUCAGUCGAAGAUACCAGCUGGCUGCAACUGUUUAUUAAAAACACAGCACUGUGCAAACACGAAAGUGGACGUAUACGGUGUGACGCCUGCCCGGUGCCGGAAGGUUAAUUGAUGGGGUUAGCGCAAGCGAAGCUCUUGAUCGAAGCCCCGGUAAACGGCGGCCGUAACUAUAACGGUCCUAAGGUAGCGAAAUUCCUUGUCGGGUAAGUUCCGACCUGCACGAAUGGCGUAAUGAUGGCCAGGCUGUCUCCACCCGAGACUCAGUGAAAUUGAACUCGCUGUGAAGAUGCAGUGUACCCGCGGCAAGACGGAAAGACCCCGUGAACCUUUACUAUAGCUUGACACUGAACAUUGAGCCUUGAUGUGUAGGAUAGGUGGGAGGCUUAGAAGUGUGGACGCCAGUCUGCAUGGAGCCGACCUUGAAAUACCACCCUUUAAUGUUUGAUGUUCUAACGUUGACCCGUAAUCCGGGUUGCGGACAGUGUCUGGUGGGUAGUUUGACUGGGGCGGUCUCCUCCUAAAGAGUAACGGAGGAGCACGAAGGUUGGCUAAUCCUGGUCGGACAUCAGGAGGUUAGUGCAAUGGCAUAAGCCAGCUUGACUGCGAGCGUGACGGCGCGAGCAGGUGCGAAAGCAGGUCAUAGUGAUCCGGUGGUUCUGAAUGGAAGGGCCAUCGCUCAACGGAUAAAAGGUACUCCGGGGAUAACAGGCUGAUACCGCCCAAGAGUUCAUAUCGACGGCGGUGUUUGGCACCUCGAUGUCGGCUCAUCACAUCCUGGGGCUGAAGUAGGUCCCAAGGGUAUGGCUGUUCGCCAUUUAAAGUGGUACGCGAGCUGGGUUUAGAACGUCGUGAGACAGUUCGGUCCCUAUCUGCCGUGGGCGCUGGAGAACUGAGGGGGGCUGCUCCUAGUACGAGAGGACCGGAGUGGACGCAUCACUGGUGUUCGGGUUGUCAUGCCAAUGGCACUGCCCGGUAGCUAAAUGCGGAAGAGAUAAGUGCUGAAAGCAUCUAAGCACGAAACUUGCCCCGAGAUGAGUUCUCCCUGACCCUUUAAGGGUCCUGAAGGAACGUUGAAGACGACGACGUUGAUAGGCCGGGUGUGUAAGCGCAGCGAUGCGUUGAGCUAACCGGUACUAAUGAACCGUGAGGCUUAACCUUACAACGCCGAAGCUGUU
rnacentral:rRNA from 1 species